rnacentral:rRNA from 1 species
UACGUAGGGUGCAAGCGUUGUCCGGAAUUAUUGGGCGUAAAGAGCUCGUAGGCGGUCAGUCGCGUCUGCUGUGAAAACUCGGGGCUUAACUCCGGGCCUGCAGUGGGUACGGGCUGACUAGAGUGUGGUAGGGGAGACUGGAAUUCCUGGUGUAGCGGUGAAAUGCGCAGAUAUCAGGAGGAACACCGGUGGCGAAGGCGGGUCUCUGGGCCGAUACUGACGCUGAGGAGCGAAAGCGUGGGGAGCGAACAGG